AGAGUUUGAUCCUGGCUCAGAACGAACGCUGGCGGCAGGCCUAACACAUGCAAGUCGAGCGCCCCGCAAGGGGAGCGGCGGACGGGUGAGUAACGCGUGGGAACGUACCCUUUGCUACGGAAUAGCCUCGGGAAACUGGGAGUAAUACCGUAUGACGUCGAGAGACCAAAGAUUUAUCGCCUUGGGAUAAGCCCGCGUCAGAUUAGGUAGUUGGUGGGGUAACGGCCUACCAAGCCUGCGAUCUGUAGCUGGUCUGAGAGGACGAUCAGCCACACUGGGACUGAGACACGGCCCAGACUCCUACGGGAGGCAGCAGUGGGGAAUUGUUCGCAAUGGGCGCAAGCCUGACGACGCAACGCCGCGUGGAGGAUGAAGAUCUUCGGGUCGUAAACUCCUUUCGAUCGAGACGAAUGGCCCUUGGGCUAAUCACCAGGGGAAUGACGGUACCGAGAGAAGAAGCCCCGGCUAACUCCGUGCCAGCAGCCGCGGUAAUACGGGGG
rnacentral:rRNA from 1 species